CAGUAGCCGCGGUAAUACGUAGGGUGCAAGCGUUAAUCGGAAUUACUGGGCGUAAAGCGUGCGCAGGCGGUUAUAUAAGACAGAUGUGAAAUCCCCGGGCUCAACCUGGGAACUGCAUUUGUGACUGUAUAGCUAGAGUACGGCAGAGGGGGAUGGAAUUCCGCGUGUAGCAGUGAAAUGCGUAGAUAUGCGGAGGAACACCGAUGGCGAAGGCAAUCCCCUGGGACUGUACUGACGCUUAUGCACGAAAGCGUGGGGAGCAAACAGGAUUAGAUACCCCCGUAGUCCCUGUCUCUUAUAU
rnacentral:rRNA from 1 species